rnacentral:rRNA from 1 species
CAGCCGCCGCGGUAAUACAGAGGAUGCAAGCGUUAUCCGGAAUGAUUGGGCGUAAAGCGUCUGUAGGUGGCUUUUCAAGUCCGCCGUCAAAUCCCAGGGCUCAACCCUGGACAGGCGGUGGAAACUACCAAGCUGGAGUACGGUAGGGGCAGAGGGAAUUUCCAGUGGAGCGGUGAAAUGCGUUGAUAUCAAGAGGAACACCUGAGGCGAAGGCGGGUUGCUGGGCCGACACUGACGCUGAUGCGCGAAAGCCAGGGGAGCAAACGGGAUUAGAUACCCGCGUAGUCCCUGUCUCUUAUAC